CCCUCUAGUAUUUGCCAGCUAUUUGCUGGUGAUUUUUAUAUUGUAUAUGAAGUGUACGUAAUUGCACGAUGCCUGAUUUCGAUGCUUCUAUUAAUCAUCUUGAAGAGCAAGCUGAAGCUUUAGGUUUAAAAGGCGAUGACAUACCCAAAUAUAUUCUAAAUCAGGAAGCAUUUGCAAGGGAGGAGCGAAAUAGGGAGUGAGAAUUAAAGAUGAAGGAGUUGGAAGAGGAAAAUGAAAGAACUGGAAUAGAAGCAGAAAGAGAGGAGGUGAGGUUGUCUCACGAGUUAGCUAAAAUUAAAGCUGGGAAUAACGGUAACAAUUCUUUAUCUCCCAUUCAUGUAAGCAGUGCUGUAAGACCUAAUUUACCAGUAUAUCAAGAAAGUGAAGACUUUGCAUCUUGCCUCAUUCGUUUCGAACGAGUUGCCAGCCUUUUAGAUAUCAGUGAAGACAGUUAUGCUGUGCGUUUGGGAAGCUUGCUUACAGGUAAAGCAGCAGAGAUGUAUACCUUCGUGUCUCCCGAAAUAACUGCUUGAUUAUAAACAGAUGUGUUUUCGGAAACUCCAGUGAGCAUAACAUCUCCCUCAGUACUGCCGAGCGUUUGAAGCCUGAGAUAUAUCCCAUAUCUCUCCUCUCCACCUGCAGUCACAUUUUGAGGAGGAAGUAGAACAACUACAGAAGCAAGGAAUCGUUAGAUUAUCAUCGUCUCCUCACUGUUCACCCGCGGUAAUGAUACGAAAAUUUGAUGGUACGUAUCGAAUGGCUAUAGACUAUAGAGCCCUUAACUCUGCCACAGUUUUUCAUGCUGAACCAGCCUGUAAGAUAGAAGAUGAUCUACAUAAAUGUAAUGGUUGUUUAUUUUUCUGAACUAGAUUUAACGAGGGCUUACUAUCAAAUUCCAAUCUCUUGAAGGACUUAAUCCUUGACAGCAUUUCCAACACACAAAGGCUUAAAGGAAUUUUGUAGACUACCAUUGGAUGCAGAAAGCUGUGUGCAACUUGUGUUAGACUCAUGAGGCUCAUUCGAGUAGGAUUACCUAACGUAACCUUUUACUUUGACAAUAUAUUCAUAUAUGCUAAGGAGUGGAAACCUCAUCUAGAAGCUAUCAUCUCCGUUCUGGAGCGUCUGCGAAAACGCAACUUGACAGUUCGUCUCUCCAAGUGUAGGUUUGGGUUUAAUGAGAUUAAAUAUUUAGGCUUCGUGAUUGACGGGAAGUAUCUGAAACCUCAGUAUGAUAAAAUAGAUGCUCUUAUGCAGAUUCCAACCCCAAUUACAAAGAAGACGCUUCGAUCUAUUCUUGGUAUUUCUUUUUAUCGCAUGUUUAUUCCUCAGGCCUUUGAACUCUCGGCUCCGCUCUCGGACUAGUUACGCAAGAAUGUGCGGGAACCUUUAAUGUGGACGAAAGAAAUGGCUGAAAGGUUUGAAUAACUAAAAUCUACCUUGUCAAUAUCAUGAGGUUCUCGAAUUACCUGACUCUAACAUCCCAUUCAUUCUUCGAACAGACGCUUCUGAUUGUGGACUUGGUGCUGUACUAUUACAGUACUUGGAGGAUUCUCCCUAUCCUGUGGCUUAAACAAGUAGAAAAUUCUUAGUACGUGACAAGACGUAUUCUACAAUAGAGCGUGAGUGUCUGGCUAUCAUCUUUGGUGUUCAAAGAUUUAGAUAUUACUUAAAGGGCAAAGAAUAUAUUUUAGAAGUGGAUCACAAACCACUAGUGUACAUGAACAUAGCCAAAUCCUCUAACAGAUUGAUACGAUGGGCUUUGUGUUUGCAGUCUUUCAGAUUCAGAAUAGUCCAUGUUGCAGAGACUAAUAAUGUAGGUGUUGGCCUACUUUGUAGGUCAGGUAAAUGAUUUCUGAUUUUAAUGGUAUAUAGCCUAGCUAUAUACUUGUUGUGGGACUUGUGUGAAUAUUUUCCAAGCAUACGAAGUAUUUUUAUUUAAUAGAAUUUCCACUGCAGAUACAGUAUACUCUGUACGAAUAAAUUAAAAGCUAGGGUUCGGAUGAGCUUGACUGAACCUUCACGUCGACUCGCUCGACACUAGUCGACUCGUUUCGCGCACAGGUGGAAAAAGGGGGCGUGGCGGCAGAUCGCUGAGGCACACCAACGGAGACGCACCCUACUGCAGCUGCGGGCCGAGUUGAGGGGCGUGGGCGUCCUUUGUUGCACUUGUUUGGGGAUUCAUAGUGUGGCGAUUCAGUUCAAAUAUAUUAUUUUGAGAAUAUAAUUCAUUUUAGGACAGUUCUGCUGCAAUAUUGUAGGGAUUUCGGCGUUGUUAGAAACGAGCCAGCCCUGGCUCUUGUGACAAUUUAUUUUUCUUUUGCUUUUGUAGGAAUGUCCGGCGUUUUUUAGGGGCAUGCGGUUCGGUAGGGAUUUCGGCGUUGUUAGAUUUUUUGGAUAAUUUUUAUAUUAAAUUCCUAUUGUAUAUAACUUUUUUGUUCUAAGCAUUAAGUUUGUUUUUGAUUCCUAUAUUUUCAUCAUUAUUGUUUGUCUCCUAAACAUAAUAUUGAAGUAAAACAAUAAAUGGAUUAUGUUCA
rnacentral:misc_RNA from 1 species